rnacentral:rRNA from 1 species
GACGAACGCUGGCGGCGUGCUUAACACAUGCAAGUCGAACGGAAAGGCCCUGCUUUUGUGGGGUGCUCGAGUGGCGCACGGGUGAGUAACACGUGAGUAACCUGCCCUUGUCUUUGGGAUAACUUCAGGAAACUGGGGCUCAUACCGGAUAGGAGCUCCUGCUGCAUGGUGGGGGUUGGAAAGUUUCGGCGGUUGGGGAUGGACUCGCGGCUUAUGAGCUUGUUGGUGGGGUAGUGGCUUACAAAGGCUUUGACGGGUAGCCGGCAUGAGAGGGUGACCGGCGACCUGGCGACUGAGGUAGGGACCAGACGGGUACGGGAGGCAGCAGGGGGGAAUAUUGCACAACGGGCGGAAGUCUGAUGCGGCAACGCCGCGUGCGGGAUGCUGGCUUUCGGGUGGUAAACCGAUGUCGAAGGUGACGAAGCGUGAGUGACGGUAAUGGGUAAAGAAGCACCGGCUAACUACGUG